rnacentral:rRNA from 1 species
UACGUAGGUGACAAGCGUUGUCCGGAUUUACUGGGCGUAAAGAGCGUGUAGGCGGCCAAGCAGGUCAGCUGUGAAAACUCGAGGCUCAACCUCGAGACGUCGGUUGAAACCGCUUGGCUAGAGUCCGGAAGAGGAGAGUGGAAUUCCCGGUGUAGCGGUGAAAUGCGCAGAUAUCGGGAAGAACACCCGUGGCGAAGGCGGCUCUCUGGGACGGUACUGACGCUGAGACGCGAAAGCGUGGGGAGCGAACAGG